AACGACUCUCGGCAACGGAUAUCUCGGCUCUCGCAUCGAUGAAGAACGUAGCGAAAUGCGGUACUUGGUGUGAAUUGCAGAAUCCCGUGAACCAUCGAGUCUUUGAACGCAAGUUGCGCCCGAAGCCAUUAGGCUGAGGGCACGUCUGCCUGGG
rnacentral:rRNA from 1 species